AUGAAAGAAUGUGAAGCAAUUUUUUUAAAAUACUCCCUUUGCCAUGCUCCGGAUCAGCGACGUGUGGCCAUUCACUGUCCACACGAUGGGAUGUCUGUUGACUGGUCCUUCUACGCACUAGCAUACGGUACGCUCCAGUCAACACGUGAUCUUAACUCUCUAUUUGACAUACUUCUGAUCAACGUCCCUAAAUUAAUUUCUGGUGACCUUAUGAUUUGA